rnacentral:rRNA from 1 species
UACGUGAGGCAGCAAGCGUUGUUCGGAGUUACUGGGCGUAAAGGGUGCGUAGGCGGUCCUAUAAGUAUGGUGUGAAAUCUCCCGGCUUAACUGGGAGGGUGCGCUAUAGACUGUGGGACUAGAGUGUGGGAAGAGGAAAGUGGAAUUCCUGGUGUAGCGGUGAAAUGCGCAGAUAUCAGGAGGAACACCGAUGGCGAAGGCAGCUCGCUGGGACGG